rnacentral:rRNA from 1 species
GAUGAACGCUGGCGGCGUGCCUAAUACAUGCAAGUCGAGCGAACAGACGAGGAGCUUGCUCCUCUGACGUUAGCGGCGGACGGGUGAGUAACACGUGGAUAACCUACCUAUAAGACUGGGAUAACUUCGGGAAACCGGAGCUAAUACCGGAUAAUAUAUUGAACCGCAUGGUUCAAUAGUGAAAGACGGUUUUGCUGUCACUUAUAGAUGGAUCCGCGCCGCAUUAGCUAGUUGGUAAGGUAACGGCUUACCAAGGCAACGAUGCGUAGCCGACCUGAGAGAGUGGUCGGCCACACUGGAACUGAGACACGGUCCAGACUCCUACGGGAGGCAGCAGUAGGGAAUCUUCCGCAAUGGGCGAAAGCCUGACGGAGCAACGCCGCGUGAGUGAUGAAGGUCUUCGGAUCGUAAAACUCUGUUAUUAGGGAAGAACAAAUGUGUAAGUAACUAUGCACGUCUUGACGGUACCUAAUCAGAAAGCCACGGCUAACUACGUG